CAAAAUGUAGUUUAACCAAAUCUCCUCGCUUACACCGAGACAAUAUCUGUUUGAAUCAGAUCAUUUUGAG
rnacentral:tRNA from 1 species